GUUACUUACUUCCUGGUCUAGAUGCACAAAACAAUAAGAAAAUUUCAAAAACAACAGAGCAAAAAUGUUUUUCAUGUUCACACAGCUAAAAUGGCGGACAUGCAGACGACGGUAGCGUAUAAUCCUUUGGGUUUCAAUCCAACACAACAAACGAUUGUUUAAAUCUAAUAUGAUAGGAGAGAGUGCUUUGCAUGCAAAUUUUCCAGGUGUGAACAACUCUGGAAAUACAAAGUAGUCCUGCAAAAUUUGGGGAUGGAACAAAUUAUUUUCUUAGGCAAAAUAUACGAUUUUGCUAAAUUUUAUAUUGUCAUCUGAUUGACACAUGAACUCCACAUGAACCCCAUGUUGUGAAGCCCGAAAAUACGAAUUUCGUUUUUUGUGUGUUGCAAACUCGUAAGUUUGUCUCCUUUGGUUUAAAUAUGGAUUGAAUAAAGACUUUGUAUAAUUUGUCGGCCUGAAGCCCUUAACUGUAGGCCAUAGUCGGGGUGCAAUGCUCAACGAUUCG